CAGUAGCCGCGGGAAAACCAGCACCUCGAGUGGUCAGGAGGUUUAUUGGGCCUAAAGCAUCCGUAGCCGGUUGCAUAAGUUUUCGGUUAAAUCUAUGCGCUUAACGUAUAGGCCGCCGAAAAUACUGUGCAGCUAGGGAGUGGGAGAGGUACACGGUACUCGAUAGGAAGGGGUAAAAUCCUUUGAUCUAUUGAUGACCACCUGUGGCGAAGGCGGUGUACCAGAACACGUUCGACGGUAAGGGAUGAAAGCUGGGGGAGCAAACCGGAUUAGAUCCCCUGUAGUCCCUGUCUCUUAUACC
rnacentral:rRNA from 1 species